rnacentral:lncRNA from 1 species
AAUUUGUUGCAAAUGUUCAAAUUUUCCUCAAACUCGUGUUUUUACAGAUGAUGAUUCCGAUAUAGAGAAUAUUUUCAAGAGAGGCAUGCCCUUGAUUGGAGAGGACUAUGGUUUAAAAGAUACCUCAAGCUUCAUAUUCCCCGGGAUGAGUUUAGUUCAGUGGAUGAACAUGCAGCAGAAUCAACAGUUCACAGCUAAUCAGUCUGGACUUUUCCCGGACGGGCUCUCUUCAACUAACCUACACGGUAACCUUGGAACUGACGACUGCUCCAAGCUGUUGAAUUUCCAAUCCCCGGCCUUUGCUUCCCAAAAUCUCCAACUCAGCAAAAUCAAUCAACAAGUUGGACAACUUCAACAGCAGCCGUCUUCUGCGUGGCCCCAACAGCAGCCGCUGCAGCAAAUGUUAACGUCUUCUAUAAACCCUAUAAAUAAUGGUGUAGCUCCUGACCAGAAUCCAUAUCAAAAUUCACAGCAAACAGCAAUUAUCUCCCAACAACUUCAGCAACAACAGUUAAUAAGAGGCAAUACACAAAUGCAGCAAAAUGUUCCCUCAGCAAACAAAAGUACAGUACCCAUGAUAUCUUUACCUCAGGACACUCAGUUUCAGCAACAUAUUGAACAACCAUCUAGCCUUGUGCAGAGGCCCCAGCAACAGCAGACAGAAAUGCAACAAACUCGGCCACAAUUUCCGCAGCCAAUCUCAAUACAAAAGCCACAAGGGAAACAGACAUCACAACAGAGUAUUUCGGAACAUCAGCUGCAAAUGCAGAUUCUCCAGAAACAUCAGCAGCAACAGCAGCUGCAACAGGUGCCGUCCCCUGUAAGUUCUUUUUUGGAGCCUCCGUUUUCCCAACAACAACAGGCUCUUCAACAAAACCAGCAAGCUCAGCAUUUCAGCAGCACCGGCUUUUCAGCAUCAACACUUGUGCAAUCACCACAAUUUCCUGUCAACCAACUCUACAGCCAGCAAAAGUCUACGUUCACUGUCAAAUCACAUUCCGAACCAGCUGAUGCGGCUGGCCCAUCAUGUUCAAUCGCACCUUGUACAAACAAUAUGCAAGCUUCGCUGUCGAACUUUCUGAACAGAAAUCAAUUGGGAUCAGCUGCAUUACUUGAUAAUUCGGUUAUUCAUCCUGUUCCUAGUUUAGCUCCAGAGUCUCAUAGCAAGGCUGAUAUCCUAAUAAAAAGUGAUUUACCUAGUUAUAAAGGACCGAAGCAGCCUAAAUACCGAAAUACAGCUAAAGAUCACUUGGAUGCAGCUUCAAGCGCAACAUCGUAUUGCUUGGAUGCUAGUGGGCGGCAGAACUUUUCUCUUGCUGGCUUGGAUGGUGACAUUCAAUCACAUCCCCAGAGCAGUCUUCCUUUCACAAGCAGUAUUGAUGGAUUGACACCUGAUGCUUUGUUGUCAAGGGGUUGUGAUUCCGGGAAGGAUAUCCAAAACUUGCUCUCUAAUUACAGUGGUAAUCCAAGGGAUAAUGAAACAGAAUUUUGCUCUGCUGGAAUCAAUUCUCAAACAUUUGGGUUGCCAAAGAUGUCAUUUAACGCCAGUUGUUCAAAUGAUGCUGGGAUCAAUGAGGCUGGUGUUUUAAAUAGUGGGUUGUGGCCAAACCAGAUUCAGCGUAUGCGAACAUACACAAAGGUCUCUCUCUCUCUCUCUCUCUCAAACACACUGUUACACACACACGCACACUCUUCAAACUGGUCACCUGCCAAGUUCCCCCGCCACAAAAAUAGAAAAAUGAAAAAAAAUUACAGCAUAAUAGAAUCCAUCUACAUUCUCUUUGAGAACACUUACACGAAGGAACCGUAAUAUGAAAUAAAUUUUAUCUAAUUUCUUUCCCUCUUCGUUUGGAGACAGCCUGAUUACUAGAAAUUAUGCAGGUUCAAAAACGUGGCUCUGUGGGUAGAACUAUUGAUGUCACUCGUUACAAGGGGUACGAUGAACUUAGGCAUGAUCUAGCCCGUAUGUUUGGUAUCAAUGGACUACUUGAAGAUCCACAACGAUCUGAAUGGAAACUUGUCUACGUAGACCAUGAAAAUGACAUGUUACUUGUUGGCGAUGACGCUUGGGAGUAAGUGUUUAGCAACUGUCCUUGUUAUCUUAGUUUUUCGUUGAAAGAACACAAAAAUAACUUUGAAAAUUUUUCUCAGUGAGUUUGUGAGCUGCGUUCAGAGUAUAAAGAUACUGUCCUCUGCUGAGGUACAACAAAUGAGUUUAGAUGGAGAUUUAGCUCAGCCUCCUGCCCCAAACCAAGCACUCAGUGGAACAGACAGUGGUAAUGCUUGGAGAGGACAGUAUGAUGAUAAUUCUGCCAACUCUUUUAAUCGGUGAAAGCAUUGCAGAGAUUAACUUUUAUCAGCAGGAAAUGUUAGAAGGUAGAUGUAAAUUUCUUGUACCAUCGAAUGUUAAAAAGCUUGUCUGAAAUUUUUUGAAGUGCUUGUGCAUUCUUGUAGAAGAAUCAAGAAAACUAUAUAUACUUGACGAAACAAACAAUUUUUUAUUCAACUUUAAAAAAGGGAAAAUUCAGUCCAGUGCCAUCAUUUUCAUUCCUAAAUGGAUGCAACUCCAUAUUCUUUGCACUAAAUUACGCUAAACUGACAGUUCAAGAAAAUAUUCAUUUAGGACUGGAAUUCUUUUGUGAGAUAUCAGAAACUGGAAAAUAAGGACACAGACAAGCAGCUCUUUAAACGACUACAAAGAACAACAAAUGGUUCUCGAACUGAAAAAUCAUUACACUUUGAUUUCUUUCAUUACGCUGCAAAAAGUCGUCAUAUUGAUCCGGAUUACAACAAAUUUCUCAAGUUUCGCUUUUGCUGAACCAACUAAGAAAGGACAGCCAUGACCUCUGAAGCCCUUAGUGCUAUGUAGUUAGAACCGUCACUGCCCUUGAAAUCGUUUCCUGCAUAUUUGGAGUACAAAACUGUGUUCCCGGGGAUAACUGACAAUGGCUUCCUGUUACCUUCCUCAUCAAGGGGGCCAGGCCCGACUGCAAUCACCUGUAAUUGAAGAUGGAAA